AUUACAAAAAUAAAGUUUAUUUAAAUUCUAUAUAUACACAUACACACACACAGAGUACCAUACAUUUACUUAUUACAUACCAAUUCUGCUUCUCAACUACAAAAUUAUAUAUACAGUGUAAAUAGUGGUAAGAAUUCUUAAAGUCCCCUGUACUUCUUUCAUCCUAAGUCUCAUACUUGUUUUCCACAUACAAGUGGACUGGGACUUAAAAUCCACAUGGACAUUUACUACAGCAUUUGUUUCCUCCUAAAAAGAAACUCUAAAAAGCUAUUAUUAAACCAACAGUAUGUCUAACAAAUACUAUUAUCUUAGACCCAAUAAUAUACAA
rnacentral:lncRNA from 1 species